UACGGAGGAUGCGAGCGUUAUCCGGAUUUAUUGGAUUUAAAGGGUGCGCAGGCGGCACGGCAAGCCGGCGGUCAAAUCGCGGGGCUCAACCCCGCCCAGCCGUCGGAACUGCCGGGCUAGAGUGGGCGAGAAGUGCGCGGAAUGCGUGGUGUAGCGGUGAAAUGCAUAGAUAUCACGCAGAACUCCGAUUGCGAAGGCAGCGCACCGGCGCCCUACUGACGCUCAGGCACGAAAGCGUGGGUAUCGAACAGG
rnacentral:rRNA from 1 species